ensembl:lncRNA
UUCCAUAUCUGCUUCAAUCCACUUUCUCUCUCUCUCUCUCUCUCUUUCUCUCUCUCUCCCUCCCCAGUGCCUCUGAGCCUCCAGUGCAGUUCAGAGUUUCAGAGCAACGCAGGAUGAGAUGCAGGACAGAGUCACUUUCACAUCAUGGAGAAGUUCUAGCGCCAGAAACCAGAAGCCAGAAACCACCGGAAGCCUCUUAAGAUAAAGGUCUGUACCUCAUAUUUCACAAUUUUACUCCUGGGUGUAUUAUAAUUGAGCUUGUUCCUGGACGUGUUAGAUGUGUAUGAAACAUUCAUUUUAGUUUCAUACUGUGUGUGUGUGUGUGUGUGUGUGUGUGUGUGUGUGUGUGUGUGUGUGUGUGUGCAAAUUGAUUGCUUAUAAUUUAUCCCUUUUCAUGCCCAUCCCCCUCCUUCCAGCAUUAAUCUCAUGGCCCAUCAACAUUUGACUUAUUAUUAUUAUUAUUAUUAUUACUUUUAAAAUUUUUAGAAAUAGCUGUCAAUAGAAAGACAGGCAUGCGUGUACACAUCAUUCAUAUGCACCUCCAUGUGAAUAAACACUCCACUGGACUUGUUUGACAGGUACUCACUCUGAUGCACAAUGAGUACAUCACCACACCUCAGGUGGCAUCCUGUAAAAAUGUUCUUUAACCAGUCCAUUCCUCAUAAAGCCUCACGUACUGUGAUAACAACAUUUUUUUUAAAACAAUUAGCACAGUCGAGAAUCUUUUUAAUCUCUCUUGUUAUUAGUGUCUCACUCAGCCUGUUCUUCCACGUGCAGCUGUAGCAUCAUGGGAAAUGUCCGCUCAGCAUUCAGUACUACUUUUUGAGUAGGUCAAACAAUUAUGUAAACAAUUUAGCUACCCAGAUAUGUAUAAAUCGGUGGUCUGGCAACCUGUUGGUUGUUGGACAAAUAGGUUUAACAUCUGGCAAAAGAAGAAGAAAAAAAAAAAACAAUUAAAUUUCACGGUUGCCAUGCAUUACAAAAGAAACACAUCUUCACCAAACAGAUGUAUUUGGUGUAAUGCGAAGACUGGGUGAAUUACCACUUCCCCUCACGACUACGUUACCCCAGUGGCCACUCGCAGCUCAAGCGGAGGAAUAAACUCAUCUUCAGAAGUAAGAACAAUCCAGAUGUGCCUAGUAUUUUCCCCCCGAAAAUCCCCAGCGUACUUUAUGUUGUUGGACGAGACGGGUAUAUUUCUACAGACGCGUGUCAAGCGGUGCAGAAUCCGGGUGUCGUGCUACUUAAUUCCAAAAAGUUCUCGUUUUCUAUUGGUUCACAAGACCGAGGUCGAAGUUCGCCUGGAUAAACGUGGCGCUAAAAUGAAAGUAACCCAUACCGGAAGAAAAUGCGUCCUUUCCCUUUCCUUGCGUUUGGUCCGAACACUUGGUCUGAGAAAGCAGAAAAGCAUAGUUUUCCGGUGUCUUCCAUAUCGGGGUGGAAGACUGUGAGACUGAACAGUAAUUGUUGGCGCGUCUGACGGUAUAGGCCUGGUUGGCGCGUUUUUCUAGCAGAAGGCAUAUUUAAAACAGUACUGAAGUGCAGUAAGAUUUGGUUAUGCGAAGAAGACGUUGUUUUACACUAAAACGUGUUCCUUUUUCCCUUUCCUUUACGGGCGUUCUCUUGAAGCACAGUGACAGCCUUUUGCAUUUUUAUGCAAAUCCAGUAAUCAGAUUAUCCAAAUCCCGCUCAGUAUAGCCAGAAACAUAUUUCCUGUCUCUGCAUUACGCACAAACAGCUUCAUUAUGUUUCCAAAACACGGACCGAGAACGGAAUCCUGUAUCUCUGAUAUCUGAUCAUGAAGUACCUCGCUGAUCGAAUCAGAUGCUAUGCUAAGAUGGCUAGUCAUCGCUGAUGGUUUUUUCAAAUGUUUUUUUAAUUAAAAACAACGUUCACUUCUGAAGCAGCUGCUUAAUUUCUAACUAGUCGAGCACUGUCGCGUCGAUUUCAGGCUGACGCUGGAUACUGGAUUACACGAAACACCAGCUUAACUAGCUUAACCUGGCUAAUUGUUUGAAGUUACGUAAUAGUAGUGUAAUCUUGGGUAGUUUGUCAGGAGGCUUGGCUAAUAGCUUACACGAUAUAAGAGUCUAAUGAUAGCUAGCCUGCUAGUGAACCUGGCUAAUCGUUUGAAGUUAGAUAAUAGUUAGCGUAAGGUUAGAUAAAUUGUUAGUGCUUGGUUUUAGUUACAUACUACUUUAACUACUUCUUUCAUCAACAUUAGUGCUACUGAAAGUAGUAUGUAAUUAAUGCCAAGUGCUAGCCAAGUGACAAACCUGGCUAAAUGUUUGAAUUACAUAAUAGUUAGCAUAAGGUUAGCUAGCUUGCUAUUGCUUGGUUUUAAUUACAUACUAAUAGACUAAGAUUAGUUAGCCAGUCUGAGAAGACAGCUAGCUAUUGCUACUGCUGAAGAGAUUAGCCUAGAUAACUAAGCUAACUACCUAGCCUAUAGCAUUAGCACAGUGCUGUGUUAGCUAGGUUAGAAAGAAAAAGUCAGCCACUCCAACCAAAGACUGCUGAUUUAUGAUUUUUAUCUUUAAAAAAAUGGUAAUGGUAAGUCAUUAGCGAAGCCGUGGAGCGUGUACGUUGUUCCUAUAGAAAUGAUAAUGUAUUAGAACAAUUGUAUUAAUAUAAAGGUGUUGAUUUGUAGCUGCACUACAGUCAGAGCUGCUGUUUUAGGAAAUUCAUCAACACCUUCUGGCCAAUCAGAACCCAGAAUUAAUCAGUGCGUCGGUAUAAAAAGUUCGUAUGCAGCAUCUUGAACAGAAACUAACUGGUUCUACAAAUCCUGUAUUCUUAAAGCUGUGUGACUGCGCUUUAUUAUUCAGUUGCUUUUUAUAAACACGGAUGAUUAUUCAUGGCUUAUAAACAUGUUGUAGCACGGGUGUCUCUAUUCAGCGUAUUAUUAGGAAUUUGACUUGGCAGCCGAGGGAGAGAGAGUAGAAGAGUAAUGGUUUCUUCGGAGUAGGAGGUGAACCUGUUAAAGCUGACUAAACCUGUUAAAGCUGAUAAACAUGAAUGUAGGAGUAAACAUGAAUAAAUAGGAAUGGAGAUGUAAACAUGAAUAAACAUGAAUGUAGAAAUAAAUAUGAAUAAACAUGUAUGUAGGAGUAAACAUGAAUAAAUAUGAAUGUAGAAGUAAACAUGAAUAAACAUGAAUGUAGGAGUAAACAUGAAUAAAUAGGAAUGUAGAAGUAAACAUGAAUAAACAUGAAUGUAGGAUAAACAUGAAUAAACAUGAAUGUAGGAGUAAACAUGAAUAAAUAUGAAUGUAGGAGUAAACAGAAUAAAUAUGAAUGUAGAAGUAAACAUGAAUAAACAUGAAUGUAGGAGUAAACAUGAAUAAAUAGGAAUGUAGAAGUAAACAUGAAUGUAGGAGUAAACAUGAAUAAAUAGGAAUGUAGGAGUAAACAUGAAUAAAUAGGAAUGUAGAAGUAAACAUGAAUAAACAUGAAUGUAGGAGUAAACAUGAAUAAAUAGGAAUGUAGAAGUAAACAUGAAUAAACAUGAAUGUAGGAGUAACAUGAAUAAACAUGAAUGUAGGAGUAAACAUGAAUAAACAUGAAUGUAGGAGUAAACAUGAAUAAAUAGGAAUGUAGAAGUAAACAUGAAUAAACAUGAAUGUAGAAGUAAACAUGAAUAAAUAGGAAUGUAGAAGUAAACAUGAAUGUAGGAGUAAACAUGAAUAAACAUGAAUGUAGGAGUAAACAUGAAUAAACAUGAAUGUAGGAGUAAACAUGAAUAAACAUGAAUGUAGAAGUAAACAUGAAAUAAACAUGAAUGUAGAAAUAAAUCUGAAUAAACAGGAAUGUAGAAGUAAACAUGAAUAAAUAGGAAUGUAGAAGUAAACAUGAAUGUAGAAGUAAACAUGAAUAAAUAUGAAUGUAGGAGUAAACAUGAAUAAACAGGACUGGAUAUGUAAAUAUGAAUAAACAUGAAUGUAGGAGUAAACAUGAAUAAACAUUAAUGUAGAAAUAAAAUAUGAAUAAACAUGAAUGCAGGAGUAAACAUGAAUAAAUAGGAAUGUAGAAGUAAACAUGAUGUAGGAGUAAACAUGAAUCAACAGGAAUGUAGGAGUAAACAUGAAUAAACAUGAAUGUAGAAAUAAAUAUGAAUAAACAUGAAUGUAGAAGUAAACAUGAAUAAAUAGGAAUGUAGGAGUAAACAUGAAUAAAUAUGAAUGUAGAAGUAAACAUGAAUAAAUAUGAAUGUAGGAGUAAACAUGAAUAAAUAUGAAUGUAGAAGUAAACAUGAAUAAAUAUGAAUGUAGAAGUAAACAUGAAUAAACAUGAAGUAAACAUGAAUAAACAUGAAUGUAGAAGUAGACAGAAUAAACAUGAAUGUAGAAGUAAAC